UACGUAGGACCCAAGCGUUGUCCGGAUUUACUGGGUGUAAAGGGUGCGCAGGCGGAUGGGUAAGUCAGGGGUGAAAGUCUGCAGCUUAACUGUAGAAUUGCCUUUGAUACUGCUCAUCUUGAGUGUGGGAGAGGUUGAUGGAAUUCCAGGUGUAGCAGUGAAAUGCGUAGAUAUCUGGAAGAACACCAGUGGCGAAGGCGGUCAACUGGCCCAUAACUGACGCUCAUGCACGAAAGCGUGGGGAGCAAACAGG
rnacentral:misc_RNA from 1 species